CCUACGGGUGGCAGCAGUGAGGAAUAUUGGUCAAUGGGCGGGAGCCUGAACCAGCCAAGUCGCGUGAGGGAAGACGGUCCUAUGGAUUGUAAACCUCUUUAGGCGGGGAGCAAUGCCGGGCACGCGUGCCCGGAGGGAGAGUACCCGCAGAAUAAGCAUCGGCUAACUCCGUGCCAGCAGCCGCGGUAAUACGGAGGAUGCGAGCGUUAUCCGGAUUUAUUGGGUUUAAAGGGUGCGUAGGCGGAUUUUUAAGUCAGCGGUAAAAUGUCCGGGCUCAACCCGGGCCGGCCGUUGAAACUGGCGAUCUUGAGUGGGCGAGAAGUAUGCGGAAUGCGUGGUGUAGCGGUGAAAUGCAUAGAUAUCACGCAGAACUCCGAUUGCGAAGGCAGCAUGCCGGCGCCCGACUGACGCUGAGGCACGAAAGCGUGGGGAUCGAACAGGAUUAGAUACCCGGGUAGUC
rnacentral:rRNA from 1 species